GGCAACGACCAUAUCACGUUGAAAACACCGGUUCCCGUCCGAUCACCGAAGUUAAGCAGCAUCGGGCCCGGUUAGUACUUGGAUGGGUGACCGCCUGGGAACACCGGGUGCCGUUGUCAC
rnacentral:rRNA from 1 species